GACGAACCGUCCAACCGUUAUUCGGAAUCACUGGGCUUACAGAGUUCGUAGGCGGUCUGGAAAGUUGGGUGUGAAAUCCCUCGGCUCAACCGAGGAACUGCGCUCAAAACUACCCGACUCGAGGGAGAUAGAGGAAAGCGGAACUGAUGGUGGAGCGGUGAAAUGCGUUGAUAUCAUCAGGAACACCGGUGGCGAAGGCGGCUUUCUGGGUCUUACCUGACGCUGAGGAACGAAAGCCAGGGGAGCGAACGGG
rnacentral:rRNA from 1 species